GAUGAACGCUAGCGGCAGGCUUAAUACAUGCAAGUCGAGGGGCAGCAGGUUUGUAGCAAUACAGAUGCUGGCGACCGGCAAACGGGUGCGGAACACGUACACAACCUUCCUUUAAGUGGGGAAUAGCCCAGAGAAAUUUGGAUUAAUACCCCGUAACAUUAUGAUGUGGCAUCACAUUAUAAUUAUAGCUCCGGCGCUUAAUGAUGGGUGUGCGGCUGAUAGAUAGUUGGCGGGGUAACGGCCCACCAAGUCUGCGAUCAGUAACUGGUGUGAGAGCACGACCAGUCACACGGGCACUGAGACACGGGCCCGACUCCUACGUGAGGCAGCAGUAAGGAAUAUUGGGCAAUGGAGGCAACUCUGACCCAGCCAUGCCGCGUGGAGGA
rnacentral:rRNA from 1 species